GGGUGUGAAGGCGAUUUAGCUAUGACAUCUUGAUAUUCAUUACUAUGGCUGAUUAUGUUGAUCUAGAUGGCUAAAAGGAUGCCCUCUCCCUCCAUCAUCACUCUGUGUGUUUCUCUAGGGCUGUAUGCGCCAUCAAAAAGGACAGCGUCUUCUAUAGAGGAGGGCCACUCUUUGCAUAGUGAUGCACAAGUGGCCGUGCUUUCCUGUUGGAAGCUUCAAAUGCUCUCCAGGAGGAUACGUGGGGAUAUGUCUAUUCAGGAUUUAUGUAGGAGCUAUGAGCAU
ensembl:misc_RNA 7SK 7SK RNA